GCAGCCGAUUUAUUUUGCACAUUCCAAGUGAAGAGAGAGACAAUGCAAUCAGAGUGUGUUUUCAGAUUGAGCUUGCCCAUUGGUUUUACUUGGAUUUCUACAUGCAAAACACACCAGGAUUACCUCAGUGUGGGAUAAGAGACUUUGCUAAAGCUGUCUUCAAUCACUGCCCUUUUUUACUUCCUCAAGGGGAAGAUGUACAAAAGGUUUUAGAGGAGUGGAAAGAAUACAAAAUGGGAGUGCCAACCUAUGGUGCAAUUAUUCUCGAUGAGACACUUGAAAAUGUUCUUUUGGUUCAGGGCUAUCUAGCAAAGUCUGGUUGGGGAUUUCCAAAAGGGAAAGUAAAUAAAGAAGAGGCUCCUCAUGACUGUGCUGCUAGAGA